rnacentral:rRNA from 1 species
AACAAACGCUGGCGGCAGGCCUAACACAUGCAAGUCGAGCGAAGCCUUCGGGCUUAGCGGCGGACGGGUGAGUAACGCGUGGGAACGUGCCCUUUGGUACGGAAUAGCCCCGGGAAACUGGGAGUAAUACCGUAUGUGCCCUUCGGGGGAAAGAUUUAUCGCCAAAGGAUCGGCCCGCGUUGGAUUAGGUAGUUGGUGGGGUAAUGGCCUACCAAGCCGACGAUCCAUAGCUGGUUUGAGAGGAUGAUCAGCCACACUGGGACUGAGACACGGCCCAGACUCCUACGGGAGGCAGCAGUGGGGAAUCUUAGACAAUGGGGGAAACCCUGAUCUAGCCAUGCCGCGUGAUCGAUGAAGGCCUUAGGGUUGUAAAGAUCUUUCAGUGGGGAAGAUAAUGACUGUACCCACAGAAGAAGCCCCGGCUAACUCCGUGCCAGCCGCCGCCGUAAGAC